GAUGAACGCUGGCGGCGUGCCUAAUACAUGCAAGUCGAGCGAAUGGAUUAAGAGCUUGCUCUUAUGAAGUUAGCGGCGGACGGGUGAGUAACACGUGGGUAACCUGCCCAUAAGACUGGGAUAACUCCGGGAAACCGGGGCUAAUACCGGAUAACAUUUUGAACCGAAUGGUUCGAAAUUGAAAGGCGGCUUCGACUGUCACUUAUGGAUGGACCCGCGUCGCAUUAGCUCGUUGGUGAGGUAACGGCUCACCAAGGCAACGAUGCGUAGCCGACCUGAGAGGGUGAUCGGCCACACUGGGACUGAGACACGGCCCAGACUCCUACGGGAGGCAGCAGUAGGGAAUCUUCCGCAAUGGACGAAAGUCUGACGGAGCAACGCCGCGUGAGUGAUGAAGGCUUUCGGGUCGUAAAACUCUGUUGUUAGGGAAGAACAAGUGCUAGUUGAAUAAGCUGGCACCUUGACGGUACCUAACCAGAAAGCCACGGCUAACUACGUGCCAGCCGCCGCGGUAA
rnacentral:rRNA from 1 species